AAUAUCACAUUACCUCUUCAUUCACAAUGUAAUUUUAUACAUUUCUAAAAAUUAUAUACGAUCCGUUUAUGAAAUGCAACACAAGAACAAAUUUGUAAACAUUUUCAAAGAUAAGAAAUAGUGAUUUAAAAAUAGACAUUAAUAGAGAGGAAAACUAUAUCCACAUUCACAUGCUAAAGUAAUGACAACGUAUUCCCUCGUGAUCAAUGAAAAACGAUUCAAAUGAACCGGGAUAAGCGUUGAGCUACAACUCAACAUUUAAAAGCCAACGUUUAUCCCUGCUGCCCCUCUCGGGCAAACGUACCUACCUGUGAAAAGUACGGUUCAUGAUGGAUUCGCCCAUCCCAUAGGGAUUACGUUGCGAUUGAGACGCUAGUGUGAACAUGAGGUGGAACUAGUUUGUUUUGAACUUUCACUUUCAUGUGGUCUGAACUUGAAACAUAUAUGCAAAACUCUGCUAAAUUUUUGUCAUUUAUCGUAAAUAUUUUUUCUGCUUAUCAAAAGAAGUAUUGAUAGUUUGAAUACCAAUAUUUAUGUAUUUGGGAAAAGUUUCACUGGUUCUGAGACUCUUGUGUUCUCUCCAGCAAAUGAUGACAGAUUAUUAAGAAAAUCAUAUUUUGCAAAGUAAAAGUGUUAUAGCAAUAAUUAUAAUUUUCAUUUUAAGAAAGGAUAAAUUCUUCAUUGGAUUUAAAAACAGCCAUGAAGAAUGAACCAGAAGUUCCUGAAGCUCCUGAAGCUUUAUGCUUGUGUUCUGGACAAGGCAGCAUACAAGCCAAAAUUCGACCUGGUGUUUGGAUACCAGGUAUUAGGUCAUUGCAUGUUUUUGAAGAAACCUGGAAAAUAGCUGCUAAUCCUGUUGUUUGUUCCAAGGAUGUUCUUCAGUCUGUAGCUAAACUUCGUCGCAGAAGUCUGCGUGGUAAUGUUUUCACUAUAGGAUAUGUGGAAGAAAAAGCUGAAUGUAGUCGAGUUGAAAUUCUUGUUUUUACUCGUUGUCGAUAUGUGUAUGUUCUUCAGUUAAGAUUUGUAAAUGAAGAGUCAGCAGGUUGUAUUGGCCAUGUAAGAGCUUUUUCAAGUGGUUUAUUACCAUCUUGGUUUCCCCUUAAUUUUGUAUUUAGUUCUAUUCUGUUUUUUAUUCCAUUUUAUGAUAGGGGGAGGAAUGCCAAAUGGAUAAAUACUUUAAAAAGUCAAAUGACUAUUCCUAUUGAUGUUGUUAAAAGUGGGCGGAAAUGUUAAAAUAGAAUAUUUUUCAUAUUUCUACUCAGGAAAUGUUUAUGUGCCUAAAAAUUUAUUUUUAUAUCAAAAUUAAUAAUUUUGCCUGUGAUUUUUUUGUCUUUUCAUAAAGCUUUAGUAGGACUUUUAUAAUUUGUGUUGCAUAUUAGUUUACUUGAUUUAAUCUGGUCCCUUAAAAUAUAAUAUUUUACUAAAUUUCUACAUUACUCGUAAAUGAGCAGUUUUGUGCAAUAUGAGUUUCGUAAUCAUGUAAAUUUAAUAACUUAUUGCUUAUAGAUUACCCCUAAUUCAUAGAACAAUAACUUGCCUGAAAGGCAUGUUAAAAUAUUACAAUUGCUUGUAAAUGUGAUUAAUUAUUUUUAAGCUAACACAUAUUACGAUUCUUAUUUCUGAUUAAUUCAUAAAAUAAUGUUUUUAUUCUUUUUUUAUGAAGUCAAAUUAAUCUAGUACAAUAAAUUAAUUAUUCUUUUCUCAUUUCAGAAAUUAUUAAUUUGUCUUGCACUUUGAAAUAAAUGCUCCCCUAUUAUGUUAAAUAAUGGUGCUACAUGUGCUCUCUUUAAAAUUAAGUACCCAGUGGUGGUACUUGUAAUCAGGCUCAUUUUAUUCUUGAAUAAAAUAGCUUGCUUGAAUAUCUAAUUGCAAGAUAGUCUCAUGCUUUAAUUUAAUUUUUUGUUUCAUGUUUGUAAAGAUGGAAAUUUGUAAUAUGUUUUUCAUUUUAUUCCUAAUGCACUAAGGGUCUAAAAUUUUUUACAAUUUUAUGUUCUUGAUGACGAUAUUAUAUUGUAAUAUUUUCGGAGCUUAAUCAUCAAUUAAUCAAUUAAUAUUAAUUAAAUUUCUUUCCAAAAAAGAGCACCAUUUGAUAGAAAUUUGAUGAAAAAGUGAUUACAUGAUUUCAUAUUGUUUAUAAAAAUGAAUUGCAAUAUGUAUAAAAGACUGAAAUAUUAAAAAUAAUAAAAGUAAGGACGGUUUAAAAAAAUAUUUUUAUAAAUGUACUAUGAAGUUACAUUAAAAAAAAUGCGGUGGGGAAAAAAAAGUAUGAGGCACUCAAAAACAAUGCUUUAAGGGAAACCAAGUUAUAAAUAUUACAAGAAAGAAAAUGCUGAAGCAUUCAUUAAAAAUAUAUUAGAAAUUAGCUUGAAAUUCCAAUUUAUUUACAGUUAUUUUUAGCUUUGUCUCACACUUUUAUGAUUUAGUGGUUAUAGGAUUAUAUUCUACUUUAUAGUAUGUUAAUAAAUGCUUCUUUAAAAAACUUUUAUUUUUAUUACUUUAUACAAAUGUGCAUUCUUCAAUGCUUGUAAGAUAUUCAAUAUUUUGUUAAAGAUAAAACAGAAAAGUUGAAGAGAACAAUAUUUAACAACAAUUACGAACAAUUAUGCAGAGUUAUAUGUUGGAAAAGUAUUGUAUUUUUCAAAUUCAUUAAAAAACAACUUUGCCUUGUAUUUUACUGAAUAUUUUAGACGUAUGCUUGAAGUUGUAUGCAAGUAUUGAACAACAACAACAAAAAAGUACUAUUCUCAGCUACAUUAAUAUUAGAAAAUAUAAUUAUGUUGUUAUUCUUAGGUUUACUUUUUGAAUUUAGGGACUUAACAGAUAUUUUUGGUUUUAAAAUGAAAUUUAUUUC